UUCCAGGAAACUUUAAAACAAAGGUAAUCUUGUUAUCUGCACUGGUUCCACUAGCGAUACUGGCAUUGGUAGCAGUUAUUUUUAUUGUGAAACGACAACAAACACGAACAGAAACAAAGGACAAGAACCACACAAAUAGCAUAAUGGAACGUGAAAACCUUUAUACACCGUCUGAAGGAGAAUGCAUUUCAAAGAUAGAAAAUUCUCAAACUGAAGCUAUAGUCUAGUCUACACAGCUGACAUUAAACAGGCACAUGUAGAAUGUGGUGGAGUUAAAUUUGUUAUAUAGAGUGGCGAAAGAUAUCAGAGGGACAGUCACAAAUCGACAUUAAACUGACAACGCUCUGGCUAAAAAAGUAAAAAAGACAAUUAAAAAGCUGUUUUUUUCUCGAAUUGCUCACAAUGGAAUGUAGGCAAUAAUUUAAAGAAUUAUUUGCGACUACGUUGGGAGACCUGGUUUCGGUUUAUUGCAAUAAGAUCUCGCUGUUGAUAUAGAGACGAUGCAGGAGAUGUUUAUAUCAAUGUGUGUAAAAUUGUCUGUAAUCAAAUAAAGGCGUUUCUUCACCUUCCUUG